GAUACAUUGGGGAGAAAAGACAUGGUUUAGAAAAAUUCACCCUCAAAAAGCAAUCAACAACGCAUCAGAGAGAGAGACCGUGCUCCCAGACACUAUUAUCGAGGCUUUUAUCCUGCUUUCGAGAUCCGACGCCGGUAGAGCUCUAGCUCGCCGGCGUCGGAAUAUUUCCUCUGCUCAAUCGUUCCUUCACUCUCUUGUUCUCUCUUCUUUGUUAAGCUUUUUGUUUCCCCUUUUGUUUCCCCUUUUAAAAUCUUUUCAACCCCUACCAUUUCCAAAUCCUUUGGUGAGAGCUUCAUCAGCAAACAAUUUAGGGAGAAGAAGGUAUCAAGCGAUAUCCAUCAUUCACCCUCAAUGUGUAUCACCUCCGCCGAAUUCAACUCUGACAGAACCACCACACUCUAGAUCUGAGGUUUCUUUCUGCCCCUGUUUCUCCUCCUCUGUUUCGGUCCUUAAGCUAAGCUACCAAGGGGGGACCCUACCUUCACCGGAGAUGCUUACCUCAUCGACAAAAUCCUCGUCACCUCCGUACGACGGCCGCCGCAACACAAUCGUCUCUUUGCCAGUCAGGAAACUAGGUUUCUAAUUGGUGGACCUCAUCAACUUCGGCCCAUUAAGCUUCCUAAAGCCCAAUCCGUCAAAUGGUGAUCCAGCUUUGCAUUUACUAAAGCCCAGACAUUAUUGGACGAGUGUACACUGUUGGAAAUCGUUUUGAAGAAGGUCGACCAAGUAAAGAAUGGAAUGAGUUGUUCGUUGUUUUGGAAAAUAUUGAGUUUGAACAAUUAUCAUGUCGUUUACCAAAAGACUACGCAAACGUCUUUUUCAAUAAUUGGAUUCAUUGUGAUUUUGAUAUCAUAUGUGUAUUACGUUUUGCUAAACUUGAGACUAUUAAAGAUACACGGAUGACAACAACGGUGCACAAUUGUACAAUGAUCAUGAUCAACCCUAUAUGUCCUCAAGUCACGCAGAUGUUUGAUUCCUUUUCCAAAAUGGAGAACUGAUUUUUAAAAUUUUAAAAUGUAAUUUGAUAUAAUUUAAUUCGCUAUGAUAUUGAGCUUGGAUUUUAAUUUGA